rnacentral:rRNA from 1 species
UACGGGGGGGGCAAGCGUUGUUCGGAAUUACUGGGCGUAAAGGGCGCGUAGGCGGCCUGCUAAGUCGAACGUGAAAUCCCCGGGCUCAACCCGGGAACUGCGUCCGAUACUGGCAGGCUUGAAUUCGGGAGAGGGAUGCGGAAUUCCAGGUGUAGCGGUGAAAUGCGUAGAUAUCAGGAGGAACACCGGUGGCGAAGGCGGAUCUCUGGGCCAUUACUGACGCUGAGGCACGAAAGUGUGGGGAUCAAACAGG